UUCUUCCUGAAGAGAAAAGUAAGAAAGAUGAACUGGUGCAAAAAUUCAACCAAAAAGAACAAGCCCAUUAGCUUGUAUCACUUU